rnacentral:sRNA from 1 species
UAUUAUACAACAUUUCACCAUUCGUAAAAGGCUUCAGGGAUUCCGGAAAUCGAAACCAUCAUCUGACUCACGGCCACCUAUAACCCCAACAAUUUUGAAGAAAAUAAUUCAUGCUUUGGAGUUUAGUACCACAUCAGCUUUGACUAAAUCCCUCUUCCGGGCCAUGUUUACCUUAGCAUUUUGUGCUUUUUUACGAGUAGGAGAGCUUACCAAAUCAAAUGCUCCAACCAAGCAUUUCCUUCUUUUUGGAAACAUCACGUUAGGAUCCGAUAGUCCAUGCAAUAGGUAUAUAGAUAUAAAUAUACCUCACUUUAAGCAUUCUAAAGCAAACACAACUGCUUUACGCCUGCAGUAAAAUACGAUGGAUCCUUUAGUUUGUCCAUGCCAAGCACUUCUACAUUACCUAAAUCUUAGGAAACAUUCCUCACCAUCAGAGCCGUUAUUUUCCUUCAUGGAUGGUUCGCCCAUCUCGCGUCAAUACUUCACAAAGCAACUGCGUUCGGCUUUAGCUUUUUGUAAUUUGGACUUGCAUCUUUACAAACCUCAUAGCUUCCGCAUUGGGGCUGCUACUAUAGCUGCCUCUCAGGGGUUUUCGGAAUUACAAAUUCAGAGCAUGGGUAGAUGGAACUCUGGUGCUUUUAAAAAGUACAUUCGAAUCCCAACACUUAAGUUCUGAUUGACAUUCGUUUGAGUUUUGACAUUAUUGAGUUGGACAGUGAAGACAGGGGCUUCACAAUCCUUUUUUCUAGCAACCAUUAGACAGGGGCUACUGGUUGUGUUUUGAAUAUCUGUGCCAUUAUCUUACUUUGAGUCAGGGGCUCAAACAGUCAAUUUGCUUGUACAUGUUUUGCCUUUUGUAAAAAUAGUCUUUAUGUUGUAACCUUUUUUAGUUUAUAAUUAAUAUUAACCAUUAGACAGGGGCUACUGGUUGUGUUUUUGACUUAUCUUACUUUUAGUCCGGGACUAAAACACUCAAAUUUGCUUGUACAUGUAUGCUUUUUGUUGAAGGGUGUUCCAUUUUCCACAAAUUAAUUAUUUUGUUAUAACUUGGUUUAAUUUUUCUUAAUCAUGCACUGACAUUUCUGUUCAAUUGCAAUGUGUUUUUUGGAUAUGGGGCGUUAACAAGAUUGUCUAUAUUAUAUAUAUACGGGUAUAUAAACUUAUCGAUGAGUAAUAUAGCCUAUCUUGUUAAGGUGGCAGAUGAACACCCCAUAUCUUUACUUAUAUACCAGGUACUUUAUUAUCUAUUCCUGCCAAUGGUCUAAAACUUUUACUAGUCUCAAUUUCAGGAUACGUUGUGAUAUUUUCAAGGUUUUAUGUAUGAAUAUUGCUCUUCGAGUUUUAUGUCAUUUAUUGGAGGAAAUGCCUAUUUUCUACUUGUCACAUCACAUCACUUAUUCUUCAUUUCGUAUUAUAUUAUAUUGUGACUUUGACUAUGGCAUUAUGAUUCAUGCAAUUUUUAUGCUAUGUAUUCUUCAAUAAAUGACAUGUUUUUUUCUUUACGAAAGAGUUGAGUUUUGCUACGUAAUAGUAUAGAUGUGAGCAGGCAGGCAUAAAUAAGCUUUACAAGCCAUAAAGCUUUUGAAUGGUUUUUUGUUCAAUUACAUUGUAGGUUUAUAUCUCACUCAACACGUUUUUCUUAACUCUCCCUAAAUUUAUCUAUUAAAGGAAAAA